UACGAAGGGGGCUAGCGUUGCUCGGAAUCACUGGGCGUAAAGCGCACGUAGGCGGAUCGCUAAGUCAGGGGUGAAAUCCUGGAGCUCAACUCCAGAACUGCCUUUGAUACUGGCAAUCUCGAGUCCGGGAGAGGUGAGUGGAACUGCGAGUGUAGAGGUGAAAUUCGUAGAUAUUCGCAAGAACACCAGUGGCGAAGGCGGCUCACUGGCCCGGUACUGACGCUGAGGUGCGAAAGCGUGGGAGCGACAGG
rnacentral:rRNA from 1 species